CAAUAAGUUACAAAGGGCUUAAGGUGGAUGCCUUGGGACUAAAUGGCGAUGAAGGACGUGUAAAUCUGCGAUAUGCUACGGGGAGCUGAUAAAAAGCGACGAUCCGUAGAUCUCCGAAUGGGGCAACCCAAUUAGUAGAGAUACUAAUUAUCAUUAACUGAAUUCAUAGGUUAAUGAAGAUAUACCCACUGAAGUGAAUCAUCUCAGUAAGUGGAGGAAAAGAAAUCAACGAGAUUCCGUAAGUAGUGCGAGCGAAAGCGGAAUAGGACAAACCGGAUUUAUCCGGGGUUACGGACUACAAUAUAGAAUUAAAUAUAUAGCAGAAACUGUUGGGAAGCAGUGCAAUACAAUGUGAUAGCCACGUAUGCGAAAUAUAUUUAUACUUAGUAGUAUCCAGAGUAGAACGGGACACUAGAAAUCCUGUUUGAAGUCGGGGCGACCAUGCUCCAAUCCUAAAUACAAAUUAGUCACCGAUAGCGAAUAGUACAGUGAUGGAACGGUGAAAAGAACCCAGAGAUGGGAGUGAAAUAGAUACUGAAACCAUAAGCCUACAACGAGUUAGAGCACAUUAAUGUGUGAUAGCGUGCGUUUUGAAGUAUGAGUCGGAGAGUUGUGUGGUAUAUGCAAGCUUAAGCAGUAGAUGUGGAGGCGUAGGGAAACCGAGUGUUAAGAGCGCGUCAAGUAUAUGCUAACAGACCCGAAACGUGGUGAUCUAGUCAUGGGCAGGUUGAAAGCUAGGUAAUACUAGCUGGAGGACCGAACCCACUUUCGUUGAAAUGCCAGGGGAUGACCUGUGACUAGCGGAGAAAUUCCAAUCGAACUACGUGAUGGCCGGUUCUCAUCGAUAUAGCUUUAAGGCUAGCGUCGAGUGUUUAUAUAUGGGGGUAAAGCGCUGAUUGACUGAUGGCACCACCUCGGUGUACUGAUUUCAAUUAAACUGGGAAUACCAUAUAACAAGCUCGGCAGUCAGACUGUGGGGGAUAAGCUUCAUAGUCGUGAGGAAAAGAGUCCAGAUCAUUAUUUAAGGUCCCUAAUUUAUGCUAAGUGGAAAAGGAUGUUGAAUUUCUUAAACACCAAGGAUGUUGGCUUAGAAGCAGCCAUCGUUUAAAGAGUGCGUAACAGCUCACUUGUCGAGAAAUUCUGCGCCGAAGAUUCAACGGGGCUAAAGCAUAAAACCGAAGAUAUGGAUUAUAUAGUUUUACGAAAUUAUAUAGUGGUAGAUGAGCGUUGUAUACUGGGAUGAAGGCAGACUGUGAGGACUGCUGGACUGUAUACAAGUGAGAAUUCCGAUGUGAGUAACGAUUGAAUGUGAGAAUCAUUUAAGCCUAUUGAGUAAGGUUUCCAGGACUAGGGUCGUCCUUCCUGGGUUAGUCAGAA
rnacentral:rRNA from 1 species